UAGUGGCGAACGGGUGAGUAACACGUGGGCAAUCUGCCCUUCACUCUGGGACAAGCCCUGGAAACGGGGUCUAAUACCGGAUAACACNUUCNNCCGCAUGGUGGGGGGUUAAAAGCUCCGGCGGUGAAGGAUGAGCCCGCGGCCUAUCAGCUUGUUGGUGGGGUGAUGGCCUACCAAGGCGACGACGGGUAGCCGGCCUGAGAGGGCGACCGGCCACACUGGGACUGAGACACGGCCCAGACUCCUACGGGAGGCAGCAGUGGGGAAUAUUGCACAAUGGGCGAAAGCCUGAUGCAGCGACGCCGCGUGAGGGAUGACGGCCUUCGGGUUGUAAACCUCUUUCAGCAGGGAAGAAGCGAAAGUGACGGUACCUGCAGAAGAAGCGCCGGCUAACUACGUGCCAGCAGCCGCGGUAAUACGUAGGGCGCAAGCGUUGUCCGGAAUUAUUGGGCGUAAAGAGCUCGUAGGCGGCUUGUCACGUCGGAUGUGAAAGCCCGGGGCUUAACCCCGGGUCUGCAUUCGAUACGGGCUAGCUAGAGUGUGGUAGGGGAGAUCGGAAUUCCU
rnacentral:rRNA from 1 species